UCGUGCUAGGCGGGGAGCUAGUGGUUCCCUGUAACCUGAAAUCCACUUUAUGCAGGGUCAAAUGCCGUAGGAAGGGUUUUGCUGAAUUACAAUUUUUUUAUAAGCGGUGUUGACCUUAUCAGCUUUACGCAAUAUAUGGUAGUUAAACCCCGUCAGAUUCGGAAGGAAGCAGCGGUAGAUUAUUUGUAUAUGUGCCGUGAAAUCCUGAUAAAUAGCUGGCUAUCUUUAGAUUGGACUAAACAGAAAGCUCAACCUACGGUGCACGA
rnacentral:SRP_RNA from 1 species